rnacentral:rRNA from 1 species
UACAGAGGGUGCGAACGUUGCUCGGAAUUACUGGGCGUAAAGCGCGUGUAGGCGGCCUGUUAAGUUGGUAGUGAAAUCCCAUGGCUCAACCAUGGAAGUGCUGCCAAAACUGGCAGGCUGGAGUGCCGGAGAGGGUGGCGGAAUUCCCAGUGUAGAGGUGAAAUUCGUAGAUAUUGGGAGGAACACCGGUGGCGAAGGCGGCCACCUGGACGGUAACUGACGCUAAGACGCGAAAGCGUGGGGAGCAAACAGG